rnacentral:tRNA from 1 species
GCGGAUAUAGCUCAGUUGGUUAGAGCGUCGGUUUGUGGUACCGAAGGUCGCGGAUUCGAGUUCCGUUAUUCGCCCCA